AUACGGAGGGUGCAAGCGUUAAUCGGAAUCACUGGGCGUAAAGCGCGCGUAGGCCGCUUUGUAAGUCGGACGUGAAAGCCCUCGACUCAACCGGGGAACUGCGUUCGAUACUGCGAGGCUUGAGUCCUGGAGAGGGUGGCGGAAUUCCGGGUGUAGGAGUGAAAUCCGUAGAUAUCCGGAGGAACACCGGUGGCGAAGGCGGCCACCUGGACAGGUACUGACGCUGAGGCGCGAAAGCGUGGGGAGC
rnacentral:rRNA from 1 species